rnacentral:ncRNA from 1 species
CUUAUCCAGAGAAGCUGAGGGAUUUGGCCUGAUGAAGCUUCAGCAACAGACUUUGAUAUAAAAGUACUGUGCUACUUCCAACAAGCGUUAAUGCUUGAAAGAUA